rnacentral:misc_RNA from 1 species
CCACUCGCAAUGGCAAUGGAGACGCCGAGGGAGCGAGAGAUCGCCGCCGAGGACAGCAUCAAGGUGGUCUGCAGGUUCCGGCCACUCAACGAUUCCGAGGAGAAGGCCGGUUCCAAGUUCAUCGUCAAGUUCCCGUCCGGCGGCGACGAGAACUGCAUCUCCAUCGGGGGCAAAGUAUACCUCUUUGACAAAGUAUUUAAACCGAAUGCUACACAAGACAAAGUCUACAAUGAAGCUGCAAAAUCUAUCGUCACGGAUGUUUUGGCAGGAUAUAACGGAACCAUUUUUGCAUAUGGUCAAACAUCGUCAGGUAAAACGCACACAAUGGAAGGAGUCAUCGGCGAUCCUAACAAACAGGGCAUUAUCCCGAGAAUCGUCAAUGACAUCUUUAACCAUAUUUAUGGUAUGGAAGAGAACCUGGAAUUCCAUAUCAAAGUAUCUUACUUUGAGAUUUACAUGGAUAAAAUCAGGGAUCUUCUUGAUGUAUCUAAGGUUAACUUAAGCGUACAUGAAGACAAGAACCGGGUGCCGUUCGUGAAGGGCGCGACCGAGCGGUUUGUUUCUAGUCCUGAGGAGGUGUUCGAGGUGAUAGAGGAGGGCAAGUCAAACCGGCACAUCGCCGUGACCAACAUGAACGAGCACAGCUCACGUUCUCAUUCUGUUUUCCUCAUAAACGUUAAACAAGAGAAUUUGGAGAAUCAAAAAAAGCUCUCCGGCAAGUUGUAUCUCGUUGAUUUAGCCGGUUCUGAAAAGGUUUCUAAAACCGGUGCAGAAGGAACGGUAUUAGACGAAGCAAAGAACAUCAACAAGUCUCUGUCUGCACUUGGUAACGUAAUUUCGGCCUUGGCUGACGGCAAUAAGACUCACAUUCCUUAUCGUGACUCAAAGCUAACGAGAAUUCUGCAAGAAUCCUUAGGUGGCAAUGCCAGAACUACAAUUAUCAUCUGUUGCUCUCCUGCUAGCUUUAACGAAUCUGAAACAAAAUCAACUUUAGAUUUCGGAAAACGCGCUAAAACUAUCAAGAACGUCGUGUGCGUGAACGAGGAGCUAACAGCCGAAGAAUGGAAACGUCGCUACGAACGCGAGAAAGAGAAAGUGGCAAGAUGGAAGGGCAAGGUGGACAAAUUGGAGGCGGAAUUGUCGCGUUGGCGGCAGGGUGAGACUGUCAAACCAGAAGAGCAGGUCAACUUGAUUGAAGGACCUGAUGUCACUACACCGAUUAACGUAUCUAUUGAAGGCAAGCUGGAUGACAGUCCGAUGCCUGCUACUCCCGGCGGUGGUCUCAUGAUCGGUUCCCUUUCGAACGAAGAGAGGCAGAAGCUCGAGGAGGAACGCGAGAGGCUGUACCAACAGUUGGAUGACAAGGAUGAGGAAAUUAAUCAGCAGUCGCAGUACGUUGAGAAGCUGAAGGAGCAGAUGGAGGAACAGGAGGAACUUAUCGCCAGCGCAAGGCGAGAUUAUGAGCAAUUGCAGCAAGAGAUGAAUCGAAUACAACAAGAGAACGAGAGUGCUAAAGAGGAAGUGAAAGAGGUGCUGCAAGCGCUGGAAGAGCUUGCGGUCAAUUACGACCAAAAAUCACAAGAGGUCGAGCUGAAGAACAAGGAGCAGGAAUCAAUGACAGAGGAGCUCCUGGCUAAACAAGUAACUCUAAACAACACUGCAUCUGAGUUGCAACAGUUACGUGAUAUGUCAGCCCAUCAAAGAAAACGCAUCGCGGAGAUGUUAGCAAAUUUCCUGAAAGACCUAGGAGAAAUUGGCGUAGCUAUCGGUGGCGAGUCUAACGAAAAUCUAAAAAUCGCUCCGCCGGAGAGCAAUGGUAAACUGGAGGAGGAGUUCACGGUGGCGCGGUUGUUUAUCAGCAAGAUGAAGUCCGAAGUGAAGAAUUUGGUCCAGCGAUGUCAGGGAUUGGAAAGCUUCCAAGUAGACUGCAAUAAGAAAGUUUCCGAAUACGAGAAAGACUUGGCCGAAUGCCGAUUGUUGAUCUCGCAACACGAAGCUCGUAUGCAAACGCUGACGGAAUCCAUGAAAGAGGCUGAAACGCGCAAACGAGCCUUAGAAGAAGACGUGGAUGCAUUGCGCGAGGAAUGUGCCAAGUUGAAGGCCGCCGAACAGGUGCAGGCGGUUACCAACAAGGAGAAAGCCGAGGAGAAAGAGGCGGCGACAAAGAUGCGGGUGGCUUUAGAGGAGCAGAUGGAUCAGCUGAGGGAUGCACAUCAAAAACAGGUUGCUGCGUUGAGGGAUGAACUGUCUGAGAAGCAGGAGUUGAUCAGCGAGCUUAAAGACCUUAAUCAGAAGUUUACUCUGGCACAUCAGCAGAUGCAGGCCGAUUACGAACGAUUGAAGCAAGAGGAGGCUAACAAAUCAGUUAAGCUGCAGGAGCUUAUGUUGUUGAAUGAGCGCCGAGAACAAGCAAGGAAAGAUCUCAAAGGUUUGGAAGAUACAGUAGCCAAAGAACUGCAGACUUUGCACAAUUUACGCAAAUUAUUCGUCCAGGAUCUGCAGGCUAGAAUAAAGAAGACUAUCAAUGCAGAGGACAACGAGGAUGACGGCGGUUCUCUCGCACAGAAACAGAAAAUAUCCUUCUUGGAAAACAAUCUGGACCAGUUGACAAAGGUGCAUAAACAACUCGUCAGAGAUAACGCAGAUCUCCGCUGCGAGCUGCCUAAACUGGAGAAACGAUUACGGGCGACAAUGGAGCGCGUCAAGGCCCUAGAGACGGCGCUUCGCGACGCUAAGGAAGGUGCGAUGCGAGAUCGUAAACGCUACCAAUACGAGGUGGACCGAAUCAAGGAGGCAGUCAGGCAAAAGAAUCUGGCGCGUCGUGGACCAAGCGCGCAGAUCGCGAAGCCGAUUCGGGCCGGUCAGCAUCACUUGAGUAACGUCAAUGCCAUCAGAACCGGCAAUCGUGAUUCACUUAAUUAAAAAGCCUACAUUGUAUGUCGUUGUGUGGGUUUGUUCGGUUUUGCAUUACAAAAGGGGUGACGGCUCUCCCCCAGGCAGCGCUACGCUUUAGAAUAUGGGUAACAGCGUACAGUGAUCGUGAUCGCAUAAUGCCAAAAUACCCUUCACUUUUACAGAAAACGAAUGCAAGAACGCUUUCAUCGAUGAAAACAAAAGAAUUCCAGCGGCUCUUAUGUAUAACGGAUAUGCAUAAAUGUUA